CCGCCGGGGAGCUGGCUGCGGAGGGGGAUCCUGCCGUCCAACCCAGCUCAGUUUUCCUCGGCUCACCCAAACACUGACCCUCCCCAGAGCCCUUCAGAUGCCCCAGGAAACCUGAAUUAUGACCCUUGAAGAAGACAUUUUGCCCAAGAGCAGAGAAAUACGUGUUCCUACUUUAGUGUUUGUUUUCCUCCAGCAAGCAGGAGGCAGGUCGGGUGGGGGCCAGGCUGCUUUCAGCAGGAGCCUUGUGUGGAUUCAAGUUCAAAACCCCUUUUCCUUCCAGAUUUUCCAAACGCACUGAGUUCCAAGUAGGGCUAGGAAAUACAUAUUUGCAGGUAUUUCUGAUAUAUUUGUGCUGUUCCUCCCUGUCAUCUCUCUGUUGUGAGGAUCUGGGGGAUGGUCCCCACCACUGAAGGAUGACAUCCCCACUUGGCUCAGGAUGGCCAGCAGCAGGAACAGGCAGCGCACACAUCCAACGCCAUGGCAGUUUUGCAGUUCCUCCCUUCCUUGUGGUAGCAAAGGGGUUAAAGCUGACAGGGUGAAUCCCAGGGGGCUGUUGGGGGGCCAUGGCUGUGCAGAGCUGGGCGGAAGCCGCUCCCCCUCUCUGCUGCUGCUCGCCAUGAUGUCACCUCCCUGCUCUCCCCGAGGAAGCGUUAAACGAGCCCUUGCGCUAAUGGGGCAGCGGGGCCAGGCCGUGCAGGUGGGCAGCACCUGGCAGGGGGUGCCCAUGGCUGCAGCUGACAGAGGAGCUCAGCCCACAGCACAGCCCCCUCCAGGGCUACGUGCCACCUCCUGGCUGCUGAAAUGCCUUGGAGAAGCCAGGGGUGAGACAAGUCACUCCGCUCCCCAUGUCCCUUCUGACACCUGAUGGGAAUCUGGAGCAGGCGAAGGCUGAAGAAAAAUCCCCAUUACAUUUUCCAGGGAUUAAUAGGUCAUCUGACAGUGCAGGGAUCAUCCAGGCUUCUUUGGGGCAAGGUUGAUCACAGAGCAUCCCUGCUGUACCUCCUCCAUCCCCAUCCCAUCCUGACAGCAGAUGUGAGUCCAGCUUGCACCCUCGUGCAAGAGAAAUCCUUUUCUGCAGCCCUUCUCCUCUGCAGAGAAGAAAGGCGUGCAAAGGAGGCUCCUAUGUUUCUCCAAUUAAUGUAAUUAAGAGAAUUAAACUUUUGGAGGAGUGAGUUUUUCAUUUUCUUUUUAUUUGAUUAGGGAAAUUCCCCCUGCACACUCUGUGCAAAUGAAACCCAGGCUCCUUUCCGUUGUUCGGCAGCCCCGGGAGAACACGUUACCUUUCAAUCUCGCACUCUAAUGUGUUUAGAGUUAAAAUCCCCCCGCCCCAGGCGAGCAAAGGAAGGAUCCCAGAGCCUUGAUUAAAGCACAGCUUCCUGAGCAAGGAUGUGCAUGUGGAGCUGCUGGGCUUGCAGUGUGCCCUGCACAGCCAGACCAGCCCAUGAGCACCAAGAGAUGCCACGACAUCAACGACAUUCCAGUUUUCUGGUGGUGUCCUCAACAUGUGAUUUUGGAGAAGAAAAGUACCCACAGCCAUCACCCAGGGACCAGCUGCCCAUCACCACAGCGCUGGCAAACAUCCACUCUGGGAGGAUAACGAGCAUUUUUGGCUGCAGCAGCAACGACGCCAUAAAACACCAUGAACUGCUGCUUGCAGGCUUCUCCCAUCGCUGCUCGGAGCAUCUGUGGAAGGGAAAACUUCCCAGCGUAACAUCCACAACCUCUUAACUGAGGGACCUUCCCCAUGGCCAGAAACACUCGGAUGUUGCACAGACAGAGCAGCUCUGCCCCCUGCACAGCUGGGCCAGGCAGAGUGGCAGGCUGGCCCCAGAGAUGGGGUCCACUUCUGUGUAGAAGCACUGGUCAGGAGACAAAGGAGCCUCUGGGCCCACAAAUCUUAAGGUAAGGACCCUGGGUGGUGUUAAUGGCCCUAGAGCUGGCUGAUGGAGUGGGCCUGGAUGCAGGGAUGUAAGGGAAGGGGAUGGGUCCUGGGACCUAAACAUCCAUGUCUCAGAGGACAGUAGCUGUACAAAG